AACGAACGCUGGCGGCAUGCCUAACACAUGCAAGUCGAACGAGACCUUCGGGUCUAGUGGCGCACGGGUGCGUAACGCGUGGGAACCUGCCCUUAGGUUCGGAAUAACUCCCCGACAGGGGUGCUAAUACCGGAUAAUGUCUUCGGACCAAAGAUUUAUCGCCUUUGGAUGGGCCCGCGUUGGAUUAGCUAGUUGGUAGGGUAAAAGCCUACCAAGGCGACGAUCCAUAGCUGGUCUGAGAGGAUGAUCAGCCACACUGGGGCUGAGACACGGCCCAGACUCCUACGGGAGGCAGCAGUGGGGAAUAUUGGACAAUGGGCGAAAGCCUGAUCCAGCAAGGCCGCGUGAGUGAUGAAGGCCUUAGGGUUGUAAAGCUCUUUUACCCGGGAUGAUAAUGACAGUACCGGGAGAAUAAGCUCCGGCUAACUCCGUG
rnacentral:rRNA from 1 species